UACGAAGGGGGCUAGCGUUGCUCGGAAUCACUGGGCGUAAAGCGCACGUAGGCGGAUUGUUAAGUCAGGGGUGAAAUCCUGGAGCUCAACUCCAGAACUGCCUUUGAUACUGGCGAUCUCGAGUCCGGGAGAGGUGAGUGGAACUGCGAGUGUAGAGGUGAAAUUCGUAGAUAUUCGCAAGAACACCAGUGGCGAAGGCGGCUCACUAGCCCGGUACUGACGCUGAGGUGCGAAAGCGUGGGGAGCAAACAGG
rnacentral:rRNA from 1 species